UUGUCAACGGAAGAAUCAUAAUUUAAAAAUUUAUGCAUUUUUGUGUGUGUGAGCAAGUUACUUACAGCGACUCUGGCCUGGAAGUCAGCGGUAGGUACGACAGGUAUGGGCCCACCCUGCUUACCAAACUUCCUCUCUAAACUUUCCUGCACAGACACUAGAAAAAGAUAUUUAGUUUGUACUUCUGUAUUUUAGGGACACGGGGUGUAAAAAAAUGCAAUGAUAAUUUGCAUCUGCAUUCUUGAGAACAAAAACAUUGGACGAAUAAGCACUAGUGAGGACACACCCAUUGGAUGUCUCACACAAACAUACAAGGUAAGAAAUGACACUGCUGUCUGAUUGGCGCCACGUGAACAAGGCAGAGAGUAUAAAUAAAGAUGGAAAGAAGUUGGCGACAAGAUCUUUUCUCUUGGAAAGAGACGUCAGCUGACUUUGAACAUCACCGACGCCGCAGAUCCAAGACAUCAGCUGACUUUGAACAUCACCGACGCCGCAGAUCCAAAGCAGCUGCAGAGCUUCCCUCAUCCCACUAAGAAACCCGGAGCAUCGCAAAGCAAAAGAGAAAUAGAAGAUGGCCGCUCGUAGAUUUGAAUAUCCUGACGGGGUUCAAACAGCAGGACAAAGAAGAAAGUUUAGAAAAAAAGAACUGAAUGAACAUAAAGACGUGCUCUAUUAUAACGAAUAUAGAACUACUAAGAGAGCAAGCUUGGUUUUCCGCAGCGACGAUGAGGACGGAUGGAUGGCUGUAAUAAUGGAGUGGGAUCCAAAUCUUACUCGACAUGAACAGAGUACAAAAAAAAGCCCAAUCCGACUUAAGGGGAAGUUUACAACCGUAUGUUUUUAUCCGCCAACAUUAUUUCUGGUAUAUAGCAAACAAGAACAAGAUAUGUUAGAGUGGUUUGAGAAAAACUUUGAAAGAAUGCAGAUGGCGCGCUGUUUAAAGUUACCCGAGAUUGCAGAUUAGAUAUUUAAUGAAGAGGACACUCAUCCUACAAUUUAGUUUCAUGAAUAGGUAACUGGGAUGUGAACUAUAUUACAUAUUUGUCAUUUCCCCUUUCUGAUGUUUAUAUAUUGGUUUAGAAUUGUGCCUCCAAAAUAACAGGUUCACGCGUGUGCUUGUUAGAGGAAGUAGGGAGCCGUAUUGUACUCACUGAGGAGGUGGUAGUUUGAGUCCCUCUCAUAUUUGAAGGUCAGUCUUCCGUAGCUGACAUGGUUGAGAUUCUUCAGCCACUCAAAAUAAGACACCGUCACACCGCCGGCGUUCAGGUACAUGUCCUGCAGGAUAAAACAUCACAGUCAUCUAAUGAUCUUCACUCCAGUGUUGAAAUAUUUUGUCCCGUAUUGUUUAUUUUAAGAUUUGGGAUAAAAACGUAUUUCUCUGUUAAAUAAAAAAAAGACCAUGAUGUAACACUUGUUUUGGUUUUGACUAUGCUCCAUGAGGACUGGAUGAAUGUGGUUUGAAAAAAAAAAAA